GCAAAUAAAUAAGCCAACUUUACCAUAGGCUUUAAGUUUCUCGGCGACAAAUCAUAAACGGAAGUUGAAAAUUCAUAUUUUUUCUGGUUCAAAUCUCAUGUUCUUUUCCUCCUCCCAUGGCCUUUUUGGUGCUCUACAGGGUCCUUCAUCGUUAACUGUCAUCUAUUACCGCUCAAUUUUUCUAGGAAAAUAAUCGACAAAGCGCGAAAAUUAAAAGGUGUACGAUUUUCUUCAAGGGGUUCUUCCACGGGUUCGAACACCUUAGGAAGUGCUGCUACCGAUAGUCAAAGUACGAGAGAAUAAACUCCAACUCAAACAGCGGAAGAAGUACCCGCAACCCCGUCUGAGGCUACUAAAGGUACUAAGAGAAAGCGAGGGCCUACAAGCAUGAAAGAUAUAUGGAAUCUUCAACCUGGAACUUGUAUAGUAGUAGAUGCCAACCAAUAUGGCCAACCUAUUGGGAAGGAAACGUCCAAAUUGGCUAUAUUUCUCGGUACAAUUGCAAGGACUCGUUCUAUCUGUCCUUUGAAUACAAAACAUUGGAAACAUCUUUCCAAAUAUGUGUUGGAAAACAUAUUGAAAAUCGUUCAUGAAAAGUUUGAUCUCCAAGGUAAGGUGGAGAACUCCGACAUCUUCUCACAUGUUGCAAAACUUCGGAAGGAGUUUAAAUCGACUUCGAAGACUAGAUAAUACAAAGGGAUGGUCCAAGAAGGUCGACCGGUUGAAGAAUUAUAUGAAAACAAUCCUCCUGGUGUGCAUGAUGAUAAAUGGAAGUGGCUGGUGGAGCGAUGGGGAACACCACAAGCUGUGGCACAAUCAUAAAAGGCGAAAGAAUCCCGAAAAAAGGUGCGCUAUGCACACACCGCUGGUAACAUAGGAUAUGCGGCCCUCAAUGCACAAUUUGCUAAUAAGGAAUGCCAUGAACCUUUGCGUUUGGAGCAAUUUAGAUUUCAACAUUUUCGAAAAGAUAGGAGUGACAAAUUGAGCAGUGAGGCAGUAGAACAAGUUUAUAUCAAGAUCCCGUAGAUGUUCGUGGAAAAGGAAAAAUAACGGAAUAGUCCCUAAACUUUUGCAACUACUACAAUUCUGUCCAAGUAAGUUUAUACAGUUUAAAAUUUAACAUCUAUAUGAUUUGUUGAAUAGUACAACAUGAUACAAUAUAUAUAUUCAAUUGUUGAUAAUGAAUGAUUAUUUGACAUUUGUUAUUGAAUUUGAUAUUCGGAUUGGAUUGAACGCGGGAUAGAGUACAGUCGUGAUAUGGUGUGCUGUGGGGGAUUGGUGUGAAGAUGACUUUGGAGAGAUGUAUAUAUUUAUUUCUCGAGUAAACCGAGGUUCAACAUUUGUUGCGAACUCUUGUGUUAUACUCUCUAUUUGGCGUGUUUCGAUUGGACUAGCUCUUAUAAGCACUGACGUGUUUCGGUUGGACUAGCUCUUAUAAGCAUUAGCGUGUUUCGGUUGGACUAGCUCUUGUGAGCAUUUUAUGUUUUUUGGAAGGAUUGGCUCGUAUGAGCAUUUGGCGUGUUAUGGUUGGACUGACGAUGUGCUUCUAUUCGCAAUUUGUUCUUUGAAUUGAAAAUAUUGGUAAGGUAAUUUGUUUAAUGAAUUUGAUGGAUUUGCUAUAUAUUUGAAUAUUAAAUUGAAUGUAUGUGAUUUAUCGGUUGAGAUUACGGAAGACAAGGAACCUUCAUGGUUGAACUAAUAUUAUUUGAAUUGUUGUAUUUAUUCCAGUAAGAUUUAUCGUUUUGAUAUGUUGAACUUACUAAGCUUCAUUGAGCUUACUUGUGUUAUUUAAUAUUUUUGUAGAUACUCGAAAGGUCGGACGAUAGGAUUGGCACUUAAGUCACACUAUUUAGCAUAACUCAGUAGUUUUUGGAACGUUUAUUCCAAAUUAUAUGGCAUGUAAUAGGUUUGAAUAUUGAUACUAAUGUUUUGGAUAUGUAAAUAGUUAAGUAUGAACUUGGCUGUAUAAGUUGUUUUGGUUGAUACCCUUUUUGGUAAUUUUGAUGUCGUAAUAAUUUGUGUUAAAGUGGCUAUGUGAUGUAUGUUAGAAUGACCAAAUUAGCAUGUGAUGGAUUGAUUAUAGUAUAGCUAAGAUAUGGUAUGUUUGAGAUGAUAUUGAAUUAGAUGUUAGGUUUGAGUAAGUGAUAAGUUGUGUUUGAAGAUUUAUUUUGAUAUAAAAUUGUAUAUACUUGUGGUACCAAUGAGGAUACAUUGAUUAGGCACUUAAUAGGUUGAUUUGGUAUGUUUUUGGCUUGAUUAAUGUCACUUUGAAUAGGUGUUUUGGUUGGUAAAUGGUUUACUUAGGACCCAAGUAAGCUUGAAAGGGUAAACUUAUAGUUUAAGGUUCAUUUUAGGUCCACACAGCCUAAGACACGGGCGUGUGUCUCAGUUGUAUGUGACACACAGCCAUGUGACACGGCCGCGUGUCCCCUGUAGGUUUAAGGCUUACAAGUCAGGGAGUUACACGGCCUAAUACACGGCCUGACAUACGGGCGUAUGAGGCUAAUUUGAGUGUUACAUGGCUUAGUACACGGGCGUGUGGCUUGGUCGUGUGACCCAACUCAGAGAGUUACAUGGAUGAGGACACAGGUUGGGACAAGGCCGUGUGUCCUUAUUUCGAAAGUUACAUAGCUUGAGACACGGACGUGUGCCUCAGCCGUACCUGGCCACAUGGCCGUAUGACCCUUACAGUCCAAAUUUUUUAAUUUUUUCUUAAAAUUUCCAAAUGUUUCUGAUUUAGUCUUGAAUUGUUUCAAUAGUAUUUUUAGGGCCUCGAGGGCUUGAUUAAGGGACUUUAUGAAUGUAAUUGAAUGUAAUUAUAUUAUGUUUGCAUUGAUGUAUGAAUUGAAUGAUUUACUGUUUUGUUUGUACGGUAAUGCUCCGUAACCUUAUUCUGGCGUUGGAUACGGGUUAGGGGUGUUACAGUUAAAGAUUCUAUGCCAACACCUGAGAGUUCUUUCGCGCCUUAAGAUAAUAUUGCAUUAGAAAACGAGGUGUAUACACAAGUGUUCGAUCCUGACAAGGAUGGAAAAAUGUUGGGAUAUGGACGUGGGAUGACCAAAUCCAAGUUGUUUAGCUAUGGUUCAGUCACUCGAGGAAGCCAAUCUACAUCAGCCAUCAGUACAUUGAUUGAAGAGGUGAGUGCUAAACAUGUGAGAAGAAGCAUAGGGCUCUCUUCAACGAGUGUAUGGCAAAGGGAAUGUCAAAUAAGUACAAGGCUUUUCAUAGUAAGCAUGGUAAGGUGACUAUUUUAUAACUAGAUUGUCAAUAAGUUUGUUAAUGGUUUAAUAGACAUUGAUUGUUGUAACCGAAUGCUAGGUUCUUAUUUGAUGUCUUCAUUGUUUGCUCGACUAAUAAUUAGUGGAUGUACUGAUGAAAAUUCUUUAUUUAGCUUUAAUUUAUGGUUCUUUGGUUAAUACUAAAAUAUUCUUCCUACGUGUUCAUGUUGUUUCUCAUCUAACUCGUAUAAAUAGAAAAUGUACAUUGUUAUUUUUGCAGUUGAAUUUCAGAGUAGCGGGUUUGAUGAUAAAGCCUUCAGUUCGGAUGAUGAAGAAUGAGGCUUGCUGCAUAUUAUGUAUUAUAUAUAUGUUAUAGUGGUUGAUGAAUGCGGUUGUCCUAUAAUUUUUUGAUGUCAUGGGACAUAGGUUGACAACAUGUUUGCAACGUGUUGACUGCUUCUAUUAGGAUUUUGUAUAAUUUUUUGAUGUCACGUGAAACAAGACAACAUGUUCGCAACUUGUUGACUACUUCUAUUAGGAUUUUGUAUAUAAAUUACGAACUGCAUUAUUCAAUUGUAAUUUUAUAUUUAUAUGAUCAUUUUAUAUUAAUUAACUGUUCAAUUAA